GAUGAACGCUGGCGUCGUGCCUAAUACAUGCAAGUCGAGCGAACGGACGAGAAGCUUGCUUUUCUGAUGUUAGCGGCGGACGGGUGAGUAACACGUGGAUAACCUACCUAUAAGACUGGGAUAACUUCGGGAAACCGGAGCUAAUACCGGAUAAUAUUUUGAACCGCAUGGUUCAAAGGUGAAAGACGGUCUUGCUGUCACUUAUAGAUGGAUCCGCGCUGCAUUAGCUAGUUGGUAAGGUAACGGCUUACCAAGGCAACGAUGCAUAGCCGACCUGAGAGGGUGAUCGGCCACACUGGAACUGAGACACGGUCCAGACUCCUACGGGAGGCAGCAGUAGGGAAUCUUCCGCAAUGGGCGAAAGCCUGACGGAGCAACGCCGCGUGAGUGAUGAAGGUCUUCGGAUCGUAAAACUCUGUUAUUAGGGAAGAACAUAUGUGUAAGUAACUGUGCACAUCUUGACGGUACCUAAUCAGAAAGCCACGGCUAACUACGUG
rnacentral:rRNA from 1 species